GACGAACGCUGGCGGCGUGCCUAAUACAUGCAAGUCGAACGCAGUGGGGACGGGUGAGGAACACGUGGGUGACCUCCCAUCAGAGGGGAUAACACUUGGCAACAGGUGCUAAACCGCUACUGAUGGAUGGAUUCGCGGGGCAUUAGCUAGUUGGUGGGGUAACGGCGCACCAAGGCCACGAUGCAUAGCCGACCUGAGAGGUGGAUCGGCCACACUGGGACUGAGACACGGCCCAGACUCCUACGGGAGGCAGCAGUAGGGAAUCUUCGGCAAUGGGCGAAAGUCUGACCGAGCAACGCCGCGUGAGUGAAGAAGGUUUUCGGAUCGUAAAGCUCUGUUGGUAGAGAGGCGGUAUCUAACCAGAAAGCCACGGCUAACUACGUGCCAGCAGCCGCGGUAAUUC
rnacentral:rRNA from 1 species